UCCAGGAGCUGGAAAUGCAAGAUAAUUUGUGCCUGACUCUAAUUUGGCCUAAAAAGACCUGUAGCAGUUAACAAGCUAUUAGAUGCACAAUAGCACAAAAUGACCACCACCACUAUCACCCUAAAGUGUGUGCUUGGUGUCUGUCUACACGUGCUUGCUUCUGGAAUGUUGAAGAACAAACUGUGUUGAAACGCCAACUGGAGUUGGUCAUGGACCUUUGCCGCCCUUCAUCCAGAGCCUUCCACAGAGAUGGCAGAUAUAUCGCUGCCUGGACCAACAGUUGACCAUGCCGUUGAGUCCAUGAUAUCAGUAGCAGCCAUGAAAACAUCUACAGAAUUACAUCUGCGGCCGUGCCUAUUAAUGGAUACAUUCUGCACCACUUCCAUGUGCUGUCAGUUUGAAACGUCUCUACUCUGACAGAAGGAAGGGAAUGAAUACCCAGGAUUGUUCCUCAGGAAAAUCUCUUCAACAGGCUGUUGUCAGUUUGCAUGCUCUUUGGAUGGAAUUACCCUACCUUGGCUUGCAGAGAAUCUGUGAUAUAAAAGACCUCUUUUGUGCUGCAUUGUGUCAUUGAUUUAUUGUAUUUUAUAUGUAUUAUGCCACUAUUGUAAAAACAAAUGGGCAUAUGUUUUAGCAUAUGUUUUCAAACAGACACAUUUAUAUUUCAAACAGACACAUUUAUAUUUUUUAAUAAUUUGAAAAUACAUUUUGUAGGUUGACUUCACACCAUGAAACAUUAAUGGUAGGUUAUAUUUGACCAGAACAUGACAAGUAUUGUUUUCGGAGUUUUUUGGUCGAAGGUGAAGGUAAUGGCUAACAGUGGUUAUUCUGCACAAUGACCCUUGAAUUCUUUGACCUAGGACCAUUAAUAUUUAGUGAUUGAUAUAUCAGUCCAACUCAUAUGUGAAAGGGACAUGAUGAAGUUGAGCAAGAGCUUAUUAGCAUUGCAAAUUAUUAUUUGUUCAUUUUUAGCUCGACUAUUCGAAGAAUAGGUGGGCUAUACUAUCAUUAACAAUUCUGCGUUAAAGUUUUCAUUUUAUGUAAUAAAAUCAAGAGUUUUUAUCCAAUGGUAAUCAAACUUGGUCAGACUAUUUGUCGGCAUGUUGAAGAUGUAUGAAUAUGGGUCAUCCCUGGUCAAAUUCUAGGUCACUAGGUCACAUCUUAGAGAAAAUAUUUCCAUGUCGUAAAUUCAACAUUUUUUUCAUAUCUUUAUGAAACUUGGUCAGAAUAUUUGUCUGCAUACUAUCUUGAAAGUUUUUUAAUAUGGGUCAUCCCGGGUCAAAUUCUAGGUCACUAGGUCAAAUCUUAGGAAAAUCAUUCCACAUCAUAAAUUGAACAAUUUUUGUCAAAUCUUUAUGAAACUUGGUCAGAAUAUUUGUCUGCAUAAUAUCUUAAAAGUUCUAUAA